rnacentral:rRNA from 1 species
AUGAGUUCUAAUGACACCGGAAAUCUAAAUAGUUGCAAGGACGAGACAUGGAAACGGAUCUGGAAGCUUCCGUGUCCGCGGAGUGUUCAGAUGUUUGCAUGGAGGCUGUUGCAUGAAUCUUUGGCACUACUAACAAAUAUGCAUAAGAGGGGUUUCAAACUGGAGAGCACGAAAUGCAUGUUUUGUGGCCGAGUUGAUGAAGAUGGGGCGCACCUGUUCAUCAAGUGCAAAUCAGUUAAGCAGGUCUGGAGAGAACUUGCCCUUGAGAAAGAAAGAAUGGAGCUGGAGACAAUCUCUUCAGUGCAUGCAAUGAUGGACUACUUAUGGGGUUUGGAUGAAAAGAAGCGUAUGCAUAUACUCACUUUCUGGUGGAUGUGGUGGAGUGCCCGGAAUAAAUUACGAAAGGGAGAGCUUGUUGCAGCGGCGGACGAAUUUGCGAGACGCAUGCGUAGCUGCGUUCUGGAGUACAUGCAGGUCUAUUUUCGGGCGCCCAAGAGGCCCCGUGCAGAUAAAUGGAGGCCACCAGCAGAGGAGAUGGUGAAAAUGAAUGUGGAUGGGUCCUUCGUUCCAGGGGAUGAUCAUGCUGGAUGGGGUGUCGUUGCGAGGACCUCUGAUGGUGUCCUUGUGGCAGCCCGAGCUGGAAGACAUGAACAUGUACAGGAUGUUUUUGCUGCAGAAGCUAUAGCUAUGGCAUACGGCGUGUUGAUGGCUGGGGACCUGGGAUUCCUAAGGGUGGAGUUUCAAACUGACUCGCAAUUGUUGGCAGAAGCCCUAGACCUCCGGCAGGUUGACUCGUCUCAAUAUGCCGCUGUUAUCGAGGACACGAAGUAUCAACUGAAGAUGUGGUUUUCAAAACAUGUGAUAAGAGUUUGUCGACGUAGUGCCAAUUCGGUUGCGCAUGAAUUAGCUAGUCUGGGUCGUAGGUACCCUGCAAACCAUUGUGUGCAAUGGGAGUCUGAUGUACCAGCCCAAGUGGGUGUUUAUGUCUCGGGUGAUCUACCUAAGAUCCGUUAA